rnacentral:rRNA from 1 species
UAGGGAAUCUUCGGCAAUGGACGAAAGUCUGACCGAGCAACGCCGCGUGAGUGAAGAAGGUUUUCGGAUCGUAAAACUCUGUUGUUAGAGAAGAACAAGGACGUUAGUAACUGAACGUCCCCUGACGGUAUCUAACCAGAAAGCCACGGCUAACUACGUGCCAGCAGCCGCGGUAAUACGUAGGUGGCAAGCGUUGUCCGGAUUUAUUGGGCGUAAAGCGAGCGCAGGCGGUUUCUUAAGUCUGAUGUGAAAGCCCCCGGCUCAACCGGGGAGGGUCAUUGGAAACUGGGGGACUUGAGUGCAGAAGAGGAGAGUGGAAUUCCAGGUGUAGCGGUGAAAUGCGUAGAUAUAUGGAGGAACACCAGUGGCGAAGGCGGCUCUCUGGUCUGUAACUGACGCUGAGGCUCGAAAGCGUGGGGAGCAAACAGG